GACGAGUGGCGGACGGGUGAGUAAUGUCUGGGAAACUGCCUGAUGGAGGGGGAUAACUACUGGAAACGGUAGCUAAUACCGCAUAACGUCGCAAGACCAAAGAGGGGGACCUUCGGGCCUCUUGCCAUCAGAUGUGCCCAGAUGGGAUUAGCUAGUAGGUGGGGUAACGGCUCACCUAGGCGACGAUCCCUAGCUGGUCUGAGAGGAUGACCAGCCACACUGGAACUGAGACACGGUCCAGACUCCUACGGGAGGCAGCAGUGGGGAAUAUUGCACAAUGGGCGCAAGCCUGAUGCAGCCAUGCCGCGUGUAUGAAGAAGGCCUUCGGGUUGUAAAGUACUUUCAGCGGGGAGGAAGGUGUUGCGGUUAAUAACCGCAGCAAUUGACGUUACCCGCAGAAGAAGCACCGGCUAACUCCGUGCCAGCAGCCGCGGUAAUACGGAGGGUGCAAGCGUUAAUCGGAAUUACUGGGCGUAAAGCGCACGCAGGCGGUCUGUCAAGUCGGAUGUGAAAUCCCCGGGCUCAACCUGGGAACUGCAUUCGAAACUGGCAGGCUAGAGUCUUGUAGAGGGGGGUAGAAUUCCAGGUGUAGCGGUGACAUGCGUACAUAUCUGGAGGA
rnacentral:rRNA from 1 species